GUCAGGCAGCGACGGGGGCGAAAGCAGCAGAGCCGGGAGGCGUAGGGCUCGGGCCGGCCUCCUGCACCGCACACUCAACCGUGCUCGCAGCUCGCUGCCCCCGGGGGUGCGGGAGUCCGUGUGUGCCGCUGCGGCCCUGCCUGGAGGCACCUCCAGAGGCCCGGGCUGCUGUCACCUGCAGCUGGCCGACAGAGGGCGCCAUCUGACAGGGCUGUGUCCGGCAGUCCAGCCGCCUCUAGGUGCCGUGGGAGGGGCCUCCGGCGGGCUGCUCAGUGCCCUGUCCGUGGGUGCCCUGCCGCUCCGCUCCGUUGGAGGGAACGGGCUGGAAGGAUGUUCCAGAGAGACAGAGCACGAGCGGGGGAGGGGCAGACAGAGAGGGAGACAGACUCCGAAGCGGGCUCCAGGCCCUGGGCUGUCAACACAGAGCCCGAUGCGGGACUCAAACCCACCAACCGUGAGAUCAUCACCUGAGCCGAAGUCGGUGCUCAACCAGCUGAGCCACCCAGGUGCCCCUCUCCUCGUUUCUUUAAAGCAGGAUCUUUAAUGGCCACUUAAAAUUCCUAAUGAACAUGUUAACGGCCCCCCACCUCUCUGGGCCACCCUCCUUGGCCCUCCAUUUCUGGCUGUGUCUUUUCGGCUGCAGGACUGCAGUGCCCUGGGAGUCCCCACUUGCCCCUUCGGGGACUUCUGGACACCCAUCCCCCUGGGUGAGUCGGACCUCACAACCGGGGGGACAUGCAGGGGCCACCGGCCAUGCUCCGUCCUGUCUGCAGCGGGCCGUCCGGUCCCCCUCUUCGGGCGCCCGAGGAAGGAGAUGAGCUACAAUUGGCCUGCGCUUUGACUGGGAUUUAUUUUAUUAUGUUUAAUUGAAAAGCUUUGAGGUCGUGGCAUGAAUAUUCAGCACGGUGGCUGCUGGCACGGGAGCUGGUGUCUGAUUCUAGGACGCGCCCCAGCACGGGGCCUGUCAGAGGGGGAGUGAGGUGGGGAAGCUAUUAAUUGAAAUAGCUUCAUUAAUUAGUAAUUAACAGCAGGGAAAUGACUGUGUCACACGUCCUAUUUCAGUGGAUGCCCUUCAUGUGUUAUGGGGCCUUUAAUUAAAGGACGUGCAUUUUAAUUAAAGGCAAGCUUGGCCCUUUGGCCUUUGGAAUACAAAAGACACUCCCAACUUUGAAAGAAGCUGGCGGGGAGGCUGGUGCCGGUGGCGGGGGAGCUGUGUUCUCCGUCGCCGACCAGCCCCUUGUGGGGCAGUGGACCCUGGCUGGUCCUCCUUGGAGUCUAGCUGAUGCCCUUCCUGAGCCCGAGG
rnacentral:lncRNA from 1 species